rnacentral:rRNA from 1 species
CUUGGUCAUUUAGAGGAGUAAAAGUCGUAACAAGGUUUCCGUAGGUGAACCUGCGGAAGGAUCAUUAUCGUACAAAAUGUGAGAGGGGCAUGCGAGGGCUGUCGCUGACUCAAAGUCGUGCACGCCCGAGUGUGUCGCCUCACAUAAUAAUCCAUCUCACCCUUUGUGCAUCACCGCGUGGGCACCCCUUUGGGAUCAUCUCGGAGGGGGCUCGCGUUUUCACACAAAACCCCCCUUUUAAAAGUGUAGAAUGACCUCAUUUAUGCGCUAACCCGCAAUCAAUACAACUUUCAACAACGGAUCUCUUGGCUCUCGCAUCGAUGAAGAACGCAGCGAAAUGCGAUACGUAAUGUGAAUUGCAGAAUUCAGUGAAUCAUCGAAUCUUUGAACGCACCUUGCGCCCCCUGGUAUUCCGAGGGGCACACCCGUUUGAGUGUCGUGAAAACCUCAACCUCCUUGGUUUCUUCUGGAGACCAAAGCAGGCUUGGACUUUGGAGGCCUUUGCUGGCACCUCUCGCCAGCUCCUCUUAAAUGAAUUAGCAGGGUCCUCUUUGCUGAUCCUCGACGUGUGAUAAGAUGUUUCCAUGUCUUGGUUUCUGGCUCUGUCACCUUUGGGACCCGCUUCUAACCGUCUUCAACCUUGCGUUGAGACAACGUUCGAGCAUGUCUCCCUUCUCGGGAAGCUCCCUCGACCCCACGAACCCUUGACCUCAAAUCGGGUGAGACUACCCGCUGAACUUAAGCAUAUCAAUAAGCGGAGGAA